CCUACGGGCGGUAGCAGUGAGGAAUAUUGGUCAAUGGGCGGGAGCCUGAACCAGCCAAGUCGCGUGAGGGAAGACGGUCCUAUGGAUUGUAAACCUCUUUAGGCGGGGAGCAAUGCCGGGCACGCGUGCCCGGAGGGAGAGUACCCGCAGAAUCAGCCUCGGCUAACUCCGUGCCAGCAGCGGCGGUAAUACGGAGGAUGCGAGCGUUAUCCGGCUUGAUUGGGGUUAAAGGGUGCGUCGGCGGAUGUUUAGGUCAGCGUUAAAAUGUAGGGGCUCAACCCGGGCCGGCUGUUGAAACUGGGGAUCUUGAGUGGGCGAGAAGUAUGCGGAAUGCGUGGUGUAGCGGUGAAAUGCAUAGAUAUCACGCAGAACUCCGAUUGCGAAGGCAGCAUACCGGCGCCCGACUGACGCUGAGGCACGAAAGCGUGGGGAUCGAACAGGAUUAGAUACCCGAGUAGUC
rnacentral:rRNA from 1 species